GACAGAGGAGCCAAGCGUUGUCCGGACUGACUGGGCGUAAAGCGCCCGCAGGCGGUCGUGCGCGUGGGGUGUGAAAGCGCUCGGCUUAACUGAGCGAGGCCAUCCCAUACGGCGCGACUCGAGCCGUCCAGAGGCCGGUGGAAUUGCCGGUGUAGUGGUGAAAUGCAUUGAGAUCGGAAAGAACACCAACGGCGAAAGCACUCUGCUGGGCCGACACUGACACUGAGAGACGAAAGCUAGGGGAGCAAAUGGG
rnacentral:rRNA from 1 species